CCGAUGCCCUUGGCUGAUGGAGGAACUGCAUCUGGAGGACGACCAUGAAUCUACCUGCCAACAGGUGGUACUGGUUUGCACUGGUUUGCAUGAACUGAACAUGGUGGACAUGAGGCAAAUUCCCUGCUUUUUGCUCCAGACCAGGACUCUGUGAGGGGUGGUGAUGGAGCCGUGCUGAGGACCCGCUGGUGAAGGACGUCCCUCGUGGGGGGGCAAGGACAGCCGACCCUGAGGAUCCGCUCGGAUCUACGAUCGCUACGAUGCGACUGCAGAGGUCUCUGGAAGACCAGGAGUCCUUGCCUGAGGAGAGCUGAUGGAGGAGCCGUGCACCUGGAGAACCAUGAGUCUGCCUGCCAACAAGUAGUACUGGAAGGCGGGGCAUAGGGAGGUGAUGGAGGACCUGCCUGGUGAAGGACGUCAGGGUGGGGCGAGUGACACCCGACUCCAAGGGGAUAUCCACUGAGGAGAGAGCUGAAGGAGCCAUGCAUCUGGAAGGUGCAGUUGAAAUGCUGUGUCCAGUCUGGGACACACACCUGAGCUGCGUC